AAAAAAAAUCCUGCGUGCGCUACUGAACCUAUUAAUCAAACUUAAAGAUAGCAUUAACUGUGCAACAUUGGCGCUAUUUUUUCGAUAUUUUAAUUAUUAAUAGAGAUUAUAAGUUUAGUUGUGUGAAAUAUUACAAUUUAAGAAUAAUGAUAUUCACUUUAAAAUAAAAUAUCAAAAAAAAAAUGGCACCAAAAAAGCACAGACAAUGUUCUUGUUUGUAAGUUUGAUAAUAAGUGAAUUCACUCCAAUAUUACAAUUAAUACCACAAAUUUGUUCCUGCUGAAUUGUUAUAUCGUGUGUGAUGAGACGGAGACAGUAUUUGUGGGUAUCACGUUCUCUUAAAUUUAAACUUGCUUAUUUCGUGCAUGUUCUUUUUGUAUAAUACCUACCAGUUAUUUAGUAUUGUGUUAAGUUAAAGUGAUUUAUACAAAAUGACCUAUAUUAUAAAUAAAGCUUAUCAAAAAAAAAAAAAAUACAUAUAAUAUAUAUGUUAUAAAAGUAUCAAUUAUAUGUUGUCUUAUGUAAUAUUAAUGUAUUUCAUUAUAAAUUUAUAAAUUAAAUAUUAAUUAUGGUUAGUAUAAACUUUUAAAAUCACAUUCAUUUAACUUAACACAAAAUUACUCUAUAAGUUAAAGCAGGCAUGUCAAACUCAAAGUAUGACUGACCAAAAUAUGUGUAAAAAAGUUUGGGAGGCACCAAAAAAAAUGAAUUCUAAUAUAAUAAAAUGUAUUGAUUACCGG